rnacentral:misc_RNA from 1 species
GUUGUGAGAAUGCUGAUGAAAUCUGAAGGGCAUGAAGCAGAGGAGCUGAGCUUGCAGAGGAUGCAAACAAUAAUAUCGUCUGGUAGUUCCUCAAAAAGAUCAGAUUUUGGGGUGAUUAAGAGUGAAAUUCUUUGCCUUUUUCUUUGGGGCAUCUUCUUGUCUCCUCUUUUUUUUUAAUCCGUAAACUCAGUUCACUUGUAAUCUUCCAAGGCAGUGUCGCCUCUCCUGGUUAUCCUCCCUUUGCGUUUUGGUUUGUUGGCUCCUCUUUAAAAGAAUGAUGAAGUUAUACGCGAAGGGAGUGAUGCAGAGGACCCACAAUCGUGAAAAUGAGUUGUAUAUUUAUUGUGUUACCAUGAUAACUCGAGCAGUACAAGUAUAUGGCAAUUUCCG